rnacentral:lncRNA from 1 species
AAAAAUGUUUAUCCGGUCUAACAUAAGCAUAGUCAAAAAAAUAUUUCCGGACUAACAUAGGCAUAUUGAACACUUUUCGACCAAGAUAAGCAAGGCAGCCAAUUUUUUCACCGCAAACAUAACAAAAGCUUUAAAAUUGUUAAAAUUGUCAACAAUUUCAUAACUUUCAGGAACUGGACCAUCUUUUAUCCCAGAAUUUGACCAAAUUUUUCCGCGUUUUACCUUCAAUUUUAAGCUAAUAUCAGUUCCAUUUUGACCAACUUUGGGCAAAUACCUGUUCCAUUUUGACCAACUUUGACCAACGUUUGAAUUAUUGGGGGGGGGG